GACGAACGCUGGCGGCGUGCUUAACACAUGCAAGUCGAGCGGUAAGGCCCUUUCGGGGGUACACGAGCGGCGAACGGGUGAGUAACACGUGGGUGACCUGCCCUCAGCUCUGGGAUAAGCCUGGGAAACCGGGUCUAAUACUGGAUAUGACUCCAUGACGCAUGUUGUGGGGUGGAAAGCCUUGUGCGGCUGAGGAUGGGCCCGCGGCCUAUCAACUUGUUGGUGGGGUGANGGCCUACCAAGGCGACGACGGGUAGCCGGCCUGAGAGGGCGACCGGCCACACUGGGACUGAGACACGGCCCAGACUCCUACGGGAGGCAGCAGUGGGGAAUCUUGCGCAAUGGGCGAAAGCCUGACGCAGCGACGCCGCGUGAGGGAUGACGGCCU
rnacentral:rRNA from 1 species